AACUUCUUGGCAAGUUGAACAGAUGGUCAGAAUUCCUCUUGAUCGUCCGAUAGGAAGUGUAUUCUUUGGUGAAGAAGUAAGCUAGCUCCUUGAAACUGCUAAUCGAUCUGGAUGGUAGGGUGUGGAACCAACCCUGGGCUGCUUCUCACAAAGUCAUGACAAACACUUUGCACAUUAGAGCGUCUUUGGCCUUGUAGAGGAUCAUAACACUUUUUAAUUGUUU
rnacentral:lncRNA from 1 species